UGGGCAAUGGGCGAAAGCCUGACCCAGCAACGCCGCGUGAGGGAUGAAGUAUUUCGGUAUGUAAACCUCGAAAGAAUGGGAAGAAUAAAUGACGGUACCAUUUAUAAGCUCCGGCUAACUACGUGCCAGCAGCCGCGGUAAUACGUAGGGAGCAAGCGGUGUUCGGAUGUACUGGGCGUAAAGGGCGCGUAGGCGGCGCGGUAAGUCACUUGUGAAAUCUCUGAGCUUAACUCAGAACGGCCAAGUGCUACUGCUGUGCUAGAGUGCGGAAGAGGCAACCGGAAUUCUUGGUGUAGCGGUGAAAUGCGUAGAUAUCAAGAGGAACACCUGAGGCGAAGGCGGGUUGCUGGGCCGACACUGACGCUGAUGCGCGAAAGCCAGGGGAGCAAACG
rnacentral:rRNA from 1 species